CCAUCGUGAACGUUACCUACAUCGUUGCUUCGGCGGGUGGCGGGCUUCGGCCCUGCCCUCGGCCCCUCUCGGGGGCCCGCCGGAGGUACACCAAACUCUUGAAUUUACAUGGCCUCUCUGAGUCUUCUGUACUGAAUAAGUCAAAACUUUCAACAACGGAUCUCUUGGUUCUGGCAUCGAUGAAGAACGCAGCGAAAUGCGAUAAGUAAUGUGAAUUGCAGAAUUCAGUGAAUCAUCGAAUCUUUGAACGCACAUUGCGCCCGCCAGUAUUCUGGCGGGCAUGCCUGUCCGAGCGUCAUUUCAACCAUCAAGCCCCCGGCUUGUGUUGGGGACCUGCGGCACACCCGCAGGCCCUGAAAACCAGUGGCGGGCUCGCUGUCCACACCGAGCGUAGUAGCAUAUCUUUGUCUCGCUCAGGGCGUGCGGCGGGUUCCGGCCGUGAAACCCACCUUCUCGAAGCGGCGAGUGAAGCGGCAACAGCUCAAAUUUGAAAUCUGGCUUCGGCCCGAGUUGUAAUUUGCAGAGGAAGCUUUAGGCGCGGCACCUUCUGAGUCCCCUGGAACGGGGCGCCAUAGAGGGUGAGAGCCCCGUAUAGUUGGAUGCCUAGCCUGUGUAAAGCUCCUUCGACGAGUCGAGUAGUUUGGGAAUGCUGCUCAAAAUGGGAGGUAAAUUUCUUCUAAAGCUAAAUACCGGCCAGAGACCGAUAGCGCACAAGUAGAGUGAUCGAAAGAUGAAAAGCACUUUGAAAAGAGGGUUAAACAGCACGUGAAAUUGUUGAAAGGGAAGCGCUUGUGACCAGACUUGCGCCAGGCUGAUCAUCCGGUGUUCUCACCGGUGCACUCGGCCCGGCACAGGCCAGCAUCGGUUCUCGCGGGGGGAUAAAGGUCUCGGGAACGUAGCUCCUCCGGGAGUGUUAUAGCCCGGGGCGUAAUGCCCUCGCGGGGACCGAGGUUCGCGCAUCUGCAAGGAUGCUGGCGUAAUGGUCAUCAGCGACCCGUCUUGAAACACGGACCAAGGAGUCAAGGUUUUGCGCGAGUGUUUGGGUGUCAAACCCGCACGCGUAAUGAAAGUGAACGUAGGUGAGAGCUUCGGCGCAUCAUCGACCGAUCCUGAUGUUUUCGGAUGGAUUUGAGUAAGAGCGUU
rnacentral:sRNA from 1 species